CCUGCGCGCUUCGCGCGCCAACCCCACCUCGGCGAUACGCGCCUCACUAUUUCCUUAUACACUAUCUGUUAGACAGGUGAAUUUAUUUGUGCUGAUUUGAUGACAGGUCCGCAACUGUUGAUCGGUUGUUUCCAUAAGUACUUUUAAA